ensembl:lncRNA
GCAACCACACUCCUAUCAGUAACGCCUCCCCCGAGCCCCCGUAAAUAAGCCUAACGAACUCAACGGCUCGCUAAGUGGGCUGGAGGCGUGGCUGGCAUGAGAAAGAGUGAGCUGCCACCAGCAUCAUCUGAGUUUCCUGCCUGAGGAUGCGGUGUCACCAGCUGCUUUGAUCUGCCUUGGGUUCCCUGUCGGGUACUAAUAGAUGUUUGUCCACCACCACCACCACCACCACCCCUGAAAAAGUAAUGGAACCUCCGGAAGCGUCAGAUCUGUUCCGGUCUUCUGACUCGGAACUCGCCACUUCCUGAUUAUCGGGGUUGGGGGAGGAGCAGCGUUCAUGUUCACGAUUGCUCCUUUACUCCGAUUCCCAGCACAGAGUUCCCUCCCAUUUUCCAGAAAUUUUCUAGUUCCCUGAGGUAACUCUCAAUGAGCCCCAGCAGGUGAUCUAAUCACCAAAAGUAUGGAUCUGUCGACCCCACCCCCAGCAUCUGGGAAAUGGGCGUGGUCUGGAGACGGACUGGUCCUCAACACUGUCCGCACAUUAAAGCCCUACAGAAAUCCUUCAGCAGCCGCAUGGACCUUCCAGAUGGACGACGCAUCCAUGUGCAGGAAGAUGCCCCCGCGCUCAGGAGCUCUCUAGACCACACCCAUUGAUCUUCAUACCCACCUGCAUAUCUACAUCGCUUCUUAUAACUCUUCUCAACACAAGAACCAAGAAAACAUGCUUCCCUGCGUCCCGAGAGCUCUCCUAACACGUACAUCAGACACUGUACGUGUCUCAGAGUUGGAACAUGGGCACAUGUCCCUCCUUUCUCAGAAGACCCCAACUGAAAUCCAUUGGAGGAGAAAUGCAGAUACCAAGUUACUACUUACGUGGACAUGUCUGGCCUUAUGGGCUAGACCUUAGACUUUGGGAUCUGACGUCCACCCAGAUAGACAGCACUGCAGUUGGAAAAGCUAGAGAAUCUUUAUCUGGUGUCCGCUGAAAAACUGGCUAGUAAUGGCCAGAAAUUCCCAUCUAUCCUGGUCACAGGAAUGUGUUGAAUGUUGACUAAUGAUAGAAGGAAAAGGAGUAUUUAUACAAUAACUGAUAUGCAUUUCCACAAUUUAAAUUUGGUUUAAAAAAUGCAUUUGGGGGGCUGGGGAUUUAGCUCAGUGGUAGAGCGCUUACCUAGGAAGCGCAAGGCCCUGGGUUCGGUCCCCAGCUCCGAAAAAAAGAACCAAAAAAAAAAAAAAAUGCAUUUGGAUGUAGAUGUUGACCACCCUUCUAAAACCUGGAAGAUUUGGAGAAGAAAACUGGACAAAGUGAUAGACACCUGUAACCCCAGGCUCAUUCUUCUUAGCAGUGGGGGAGGGGGGGAAUUAACUCACACUGGGGAGUGGGAACAGCCAAAUCUGGAACCUCGAUGUUAGCCUCUCUAAAGAGCAGGAUCAGAGAUCCUGUCUCAAAAAUCAAAGUGGAGUGCUACAGAGGAAGCCACAUGAACCUCCAGCCUUCACAUACACGGUUAUAGGCACAGCACACACAUGCAUACACACACACAGAUACGCACACACACAUGCAUACACAUACACACAGAUACACACACAUAUACACAUACACAGAUAUACACAUACACACACACAUACACAUACACACACAUACACACAUACAGAAAGAGAUUAAAACAAAUACAUUCUGAAUUAUCUAAAUAAACAUUCCCCAAGUGCACACUGCCCACUGUGUAUUUAUAGACAAGUCAACAGAAAGCAGCAAUAUUUCACAUAUUUGUGGGCCAACAACUCCACCCAAGGCACUGAUAGCAAGGGAACCCAGGAGAACACGGCGCAGUGACCAGUAUGACUCUCCCACUGCAAGUGGCACUUUUUUCAACAUCGCCAUUCUGUUCAUAACAACUGUUCCAUGGUUUGCUUUUUACCAUUGCACAACUAAGGGGAUAAGACAUUUGGGCAAAGUUCACCCUUUCGAGUAUUGAGAUAACCGUCAGUGAAAAGGCCGCAGGCCAGCGUUGACAAGCCACAGUUCUCUUGCUGUUGUCGCUGUUGUUGUUUGAUUGGUUGUUUCAAUUCAAUAGGAAGCAUCGAGCUCUUGGCUCUCUCUUCCAGCAGGACCAAGCUAGCACUGUCUGAAGACACGAGGAUUGGAGGGCUUGAGGCUGUUACUCGGCAGUCACCAGAGUAGUGCAAUCCAUUUCCCCACUCCGUCAGCUCAGUCUUCUCAUACCUAAUGUAGCCUAGGUCCUCAAGAGCACCCUGUUCACUCUGAGGGGUCCUGCAGAAGACGGAAAUGACUCGGGAAAGGCAGCACAGACUUAAGUCAGGGUAAUUAGCUGCUGAAAUGAGAAGGGAAUCGUGUCUGCAUAAGAGACGGGGUUUCUAAAGUAGGGUUCCUGAAAUGUCCGUAAUAACACACUAUAUUUUGUUUAUAAAUAUGUUUGUCUUUCCUCUGGGGCCCAGAGCUCUCUGCAGACUUUAAACGGACCCAAUUCCCAAAGACGGUUUGGAGCCAUGAAGAUCUCGUUUCUUCACAUUACUGGAGAACCAUGGCCCUCUGGGAACAGAGACAUUGACGUUGGGAAUUUGGAAAGGAGAAUUAGAAUCCAUAUGUGAAAUGGGAUCCUAAAAGCUAACCGACCCCAUUUACAAACCUAAUAGAGUUUUGCUUCAAAGUCAAGAAUAUCCUGUUCUUCUUACCUCAUCCACACACCGGAAAUGGUGAAAAUACUAACUACCUUAAAUGAAAGGCCUAUUUCACUUUGAGUUAGAAGAUUGUAAAAUUGUUGGUAUAGUGGGUAGAAAGGCCAUAUCAAGCCCAAUGCUGGUGCUGACAAUUGUAAGAGGAAAAAUUAAAUUAUAUGUUCUGCUCCACUAACAAUAGAGGCUUCUUGAAAAAAUAAAAAUAAAAAUAAAAAUCUGAAAACGU